AGUAUUAAACUAAAACUUUAGGUUACCUUGAUAGGGUAAAUUAGCUACUAUGUAGUAAUACUU
rnacentral:tRNA from 1 species